UUCGCAAGAAUGAAACUCAAAGGAAUUGACGGGGACCCGCACAAGCGGUGGAGCAUGUGGUUUAAUUUGAAGCAACGCGAAGAACCUUACCAAGUCUUGACAUCCUUCUGACCGGACAGUAAUGUGUCCUUUCCUUCGGGACAGAAGAGACAGGUGGUGCAUGGUUGUCGUCAGCUCGUGUCGUGAGAUGUUGGGUUAAGUCCCGCAACGAGCGCAACCCUUAUCCCCAGUAGCCAGCAUUUUGGAUGGGCACUCUGAGGAGACUGCCAGGGAUAACCUGGAGGAAGGCGGGGAUGACGUCAAAUCAUCAUGCCCCUUAUGACUUGGGCUACACACGUGCUACAAUGGCGUAAACAAAGGGAAGCAAGACCGUGAGGUGGAGCAAAUCCCAAAAAUAACGUCUCAGUUCGGACUGUAGUCUGCAACCCGACUACACGAAGCUGGAAUCGCUAGUAAUCGCAGAUCAGAAUGCUGCGGUGAAUACGUUCCCGGGUCCCGCAAAAAGCGCCCGUC
rnacentral:rRNA from 1 species